rnacentral:rRNA from 1 species
CGUAUAUUUAAGUUGUUGCAGUUAAAAAGCUCGUAGUUGGAUUUUGGUUAAGAGGGCGCGGUCGGCCGUUUGGUCUGUACUGCGUUGUCUUGACUUCCUGAUGAGGACAUGCUCUUGGUUAACGCUGAGACAUGGAGUCAUCGUGGUUACUUUGAAAAAAUUAGAGUGUUCAAAGCGGGCUUACGCUUGAAUAUAUUAGCAUGGAAUAACACUAUAGGACUCCUGUCCUAUCUCGUUGGUCUCGGGAUGGGAGUAAUGAUUAAGAGGAACAGUUGGGGGCAUUCGUAUUUCAUUGUCAGAGGUGAAAUUCUUGGAUUUAUGAAAGACGAACUUCUGCGAAAGCAUUUGCCAAGGAUGUUUUCAUUAAUCAAGAACGAAAGUUGGGGGCUCGAAGAUGACUAGAUACCAUCCUAGUCUCAACCAUAAACGAUGCCGACUAGGGAUUGGUGGAUGUUAAUUGAUGACUUCACCAGCACCUUAUGAGAAAUCAAAGUUUUUGGGUUCCGGGGGGAGUAUGGUCGCAAGGCUGAAACUUAAAGGAAUUGAC